UGAUUAUCUUCAUCAUAUUGUCGUUACUCCUAAUUAUUCUCCUCAUUCUGAUCAUUUCUCUCUACAUCAAUUCAUACGAGUAUUCCCAGGUUUCUCUGAAACCACUCCCUUAAUCACUUUUUUUCUUCCAUCCUUCCUUUCCUUCUUUCCUUCUUUCUUUCUUUCUUUCUUUCUUUCUUUCUUUCUUUCUUUCUUUCUUUCUUUCUUUCUUUCUUUCUUUCUUUCUUUCUUUCCUUUCUUUCUUUCUUUCUCUCUUUCCUUUCUUUCUCUCUUUCUUUUCUUUCUUUCUUUCUUUCUUUCUUUCUUUCUUUCUUUCUUUCUUUCUUUCAUUCUUUCUUUCUUUCUUUCUUUCUUUCUUUCUUUCUUUCUUUCUUUCUUUUUUUUCUUUCUUUCUUUCUUUUUUUUCUUUCUUUCUUUCUUUCUUUUUUCUUUCUUUCUUUCUUUCUCUCUUUCUCUCUUUGUCUCUCUCUCUCUUUCUUUCUUUCUUUCUUUCUUUCUUUCUUUCUUUCUUUCUCUCUUUCUUUCUUUCUCUCUCUCUUUCUUUCUUUCUUUCUUUCUUCCUCCUUACCUUUUGUUUUUAGAAUUGAUACCAAAUAUUGGUUUCAAGGCAGAAAUUGCAGUAAGGGCUAGGU
rnacentral:lncRNA from 1 species